AUGUGGCUUCAGGGGCUCCUGGCCUGGGCCAGGACCUUACGGGUACCACGUGGGGGGUACUUGGUGGACAGGGUGGGACUGACAUGGCCUCCUCUGGGGCUGCCUGCUUUUGUCCCAAACACCUUGAUGGUGGUAUCCAGGAGAGGGGAAGGAGGGGCCGUUGUCGCCAAGGUUCCCUCCCAGAACCCACAGUGGGAAAGCAAUCCUGUCAGCUACUGUCCAUUGUCACUGUGCUUGUGGGCUGGUGGCCAGAUCCUGGGAUGCCAGGCUGUGGGCAAGGAGGGGCCGGGGGCACCCAGGAGAGGCUGCAGUCAGAACCAUGGUGGGGCUGGAGGAGGCCUCUCUGCCACCAUUCUUCCUGGUCAGCAGCAGUGUCUCUCGGCAGGCUUGGGUUCAGGGUGGGGGCAUGUGGUCGCAUCCGCUGCUUGCCACUGUAUGCGCCAUGGUUACCCCGCGUCCUUCCCAGCACCCUCAGGAAGGCCCGGGCAGGGACUGGGAGCAGCAGACCCAGGCUGUUGGCCUGGUGUGGAGUGUGCCCAGUGUCCUUGGCAGGACCUGAGAGUGCCACCCCACGGGCAGAGCCUCCACCAGGUUGGCAGGGGGACCCCGCUCACUCCCUACAGCCAGUGUGGGCACAGGACUGGCGCUUCCUCAGAGAUGGUAUUUUAUCUUUCUUUUGAUGAAAACUGUCACUUUAGCAUGUACUCUAUCACAGAAUCCCGUGCAGUGACUCUAGGAUUUGAAACUGUAUGAUGUGUUACAUAAGAAUCUCUUUGCUGUCGACAGCCCGUAUAAAGGAGAGAGAGACACAUCACGCUGCUGUCAUGAUUUUGUCAGGCUCAUCCAAUAAAGUUGUAAAACAGGCA